AAUCGUCGGUUCAACAAAAGAA
rnacentral:misc_RNA from 1 species